GACGAACGCUGGCGGCGUGCUUAACACAUGCAAGUCGAACGGAAAGGCCCUGCUUUUGUGGGGUGCUCGAGUGGCGAACGGGUGAGUAACACGUGAGUAACCUGCCCUUGACUUUGGGAUAACUUCAGGAAACUGGGGCUAAUACCGGAUAGGAGCUCCUGCUGCAUGGUGGGGGUUGGAAAGUUUCGGCGGUUGGGGAUGGACUCGCGGCUUAUCAGCUUGUUGGUGGGGUAGUGGCUUACCAAGGCUUUGACGGGUAGCCGGCCUGAGAGGGUGACCGGCCACAUUAGGACUGAGAGACGGCCCAGACUCCUACGGGAGGCAGCAGUGGGGAAUAUUGCACAAUGGGCGGAAGCCUGAUGCAGCAACGCCGCGUGCGGGAUGACGGCCUUCGGGUUGUAAACCGCUUUCGCCUGUGACGAAGCGUGAGUGACGGUAAUGGGUAAAGAAUCACCGGCUAACUACGUG
rnacentral:rRNA from 1 species